CAGUCGCCACGGUAAUACGUAGGGUGCAAGCGUUAAUCGGAAUUACUGGGCGUAAAGCGCACGCAGGCGGUCUGUCAAGUCAGAUGUGAAAUCCCCGGGCUUAACCUGGGAACUGCAUUUGAAACUGGUAGGCUAGAGUCUUGUAGAGGGGGGUAGAAUUCCAGGUGUAGCGGUGAAAUGCGUAGAGAUCUGGAGGAAUACCGGUGGCGAAGGCGGCCCCCUGGACAAAGACUGACGCUCAGGUGCGAAAGCGUGGGGAGCGAACAGGAUUAGAUACCCCAGUAGUCCCUGUCUCUUAUAC
rnacentral:rRNA from 1 species